CACGUAGGGCGCGAGCGUUGUCCGGAAUUAUUGGGCGUAAAGAGCUCGUAGGCGGCCUGUUGCGUCCGCUGUGAAGGCCCGGGGCUUAACCCCGGGUCGGCAGUGGAUACGAGCAGGCUAGAGGUAGGUAGGGGAGAAUGGAAUUCCCGGUGUAGCGGUGAAAUGCGCAGAUAUCGGGAGGAACACCGGUGGCGAAGGCGGUUCUCUGGGCCUUACCUGACGCUGAGGAGCGAAAGCGUGGGGAGCGAACAGG
rnacentral:rRNA from 1 species